rnacentral:rRNA from 1 species
UACGGGGGGGGCAAGCGUUGUUCGGAAUUACUGGGCGUAAAGGGCUCGUAGGUGGCCAACUAAGUCAGACGUGAAAUCCCUCGGCUUAACCGGGGAACUGCGUGUGAUACUGGAUGGCUUGGAUUUGGGAGAGGGAUGCGGAAUUCCAGGUGUAGCGGUGAAAUGCGUAGAUAUCUGGAGGAACACCGGUGGCGAAGGCGGCAUCCUGGACCAAUAUUGACGCUGAGGAGCGAAAGCCAGGGGAGCAAACGGG